GACGAAGGUGGCUAGCGUUGUUCGGAAUCACUGGGCUUAAAGAGCAUGUAGGCGGCCUGUUAAGUGCCUUGUGAAAUCCCCCGGCUCAACCGGGGAGCUGCUUGGCAUACUGGCAGGAUCGAGGCAAGUAUGGGUGCAUGGAACUCUUGGUGGAGCGGUGAAAUGCGUAGAUAUCAAGAGGAACGCCGGCGGUGAAGACGAUGCACUGGGCUUGUCCUGACGCUGAGAUGCGAAAGCCAGGGGAG
rnacentral:rRNA from 1 species